rnacentral:lncRNA from 1 species
UUCUUUCAGACUUUACAGCAACAUAUCUGCAUGUGCACUUACCUGGCAUGAAACAACUCCCAGCUCUCCUUGAUAAUGAUGAAAAAUGAAAGGGUGUCCCUAGGAAGAGCAUGAAUCUGCAGUUGGAGGAGCGACGUGGGCACCUGAGGUACCUCGCACACACAGCUGCUCUCAGGAGUGGGAUGCAAUCCCACUGUGCUGCGGAUUUAAUAAGAGAGUUACCACAUCGCUGUAAGUGACAGCUGGUUAUUAGAAGCAGACACUGAAG